rnacentral:rRNA from 1 species
AAACCGCAUGCAGGUAAACGGGUGGCGUCAAGCUGCAAGCCCGGAGGAUUCAGCUGGCUAGGAUGUUGUGUAUGCGCCUGGCGCAUCUAUCAGCCGGAGUAAGAUGUGAUAGUCCACUGGUAAACGGUGGGCCCGGCCGCAAGGUUGGGAUAUGUGUACCGGGCGGAAGCCGGAGCAUGCUAUUCGUCUGUUGGGCUGUCUAGUCAGUGCACUUUCUCUGUGGUGAACACCACGACCGGUGGAAUUGCCAGUCUGCUGUAGUCAAGUCGUAUUCAGUCGGUUCUUGUAGCCAACUGGGUGCGAUCACAGGCAAACUCAGUAAACGGCGUAGGGGUGUCUCGGCAUCCUUGCGUGUUAUCGGCUGCUGGUUGUCAACGGGCCUGCCUGAUGAUUGUUGUAACCGUCAUUGGGUGGUCUGGUGGACUAUGGUGGUAAGAAUAACUGUGCAAGGCAUCGGAGUUCUCGGCCUCAAAUGCAUCCUGCAUACACGUUACAAGUGGAGUGGGGUGCCAUUGCAGCCUGCCUGUUGUUGGGUCUGAUUGUCGUGUCGCCUGCGCAAAGUGGGCCCGGCAGUGGCCUGAUGCGGGAUGGGUUGUGGAUGGUGCCUCCUG